rnacentral:rRNA from 1 species
UUCGCCCUUAGAGUUUGAUCCUGGCUCAGGAUGAAUGCUGGCGGCGUGCCUAACACAUGCAAGUCGAACGGUUAAACCGCCCUUCGGGGCGGACAUACAGUGGCGAACGGGUGAGUAACACGUGACCAACCUGCCCCGCACCCCGGGACAACCGCCGGAAACGGCGGCUAAUACCGGAUACUCUCCGAGGCGCGCAUGCGCCACGGAGGAAAGCUCCGACGGUGCGGGAUGGGGUCGCAGCCCAUUAGGUAGUAGGCGGGGCAACGGCCCACCUAGCCUGCGAUGGGUAGCCGGCCUGAGAGGGCGAUCGGCCACAUUGGGACUGAGAUACGGCCCAGACUCCUACGGGAGGCAGCAGUGGGGAAUAUUGCGCAAUGGGGGAAACCCUGACGCAGCAACGCCGCGUGCGGGAUGACGGCCUUCGGGUUGUAAACCGCUUUCAGCAGGGAAGAACAUCGACGGUACCUGCAGAAGAAGCCCCCGCUAACUACGUGCCAGCAGCCGCGGUAAUACGUAGGAGGCAAGCGUUAUCCGGAAUGACUGGGCGUAAAGGGUGCGUAGGUGGUUUGACAAGUUGGUAGCGUAAUUCCGAGGCUCAACCUCGGCACUACUACCAAAACUGUUGGACUUGAGUGCAGGAGGGGCAACUGGAAUUCCUAGUGUAGCGGUGGAAUGCGUAGAUAUUAGGAGGAACACCAGUGGCGAAGGCGAGUUGCUGGACUGUAACUGACACUGAGGCACGAAAGCGUGGGGAGCAAACAGGAUUAGAUACCCUGGUAGUCCACGCUGUAAACGAUGAAUACUAGGUGUAGGGGGUAUCGACUCCCUCUGUGCCGCCGCUAACGCAUUAAGUAUUCCGCCUGGGGACUACGGCCGCAAGGUUGAAACUCAAAGAAAUUGACGGGGACCCGCACAAGCAGCGGAGCAUGUGGUUUAAUUCGACGCAACGCGAAAAACCUUACCAGGCCUUGACAUCGAGUGAAAGUCUUAGAGAUAAGACCCUCCUUCGGGACACGAAGACAGGUGCUGCAUGGUUGUCGUCAGCUCGUGUCGUGAGAUGUUAGGUUAAGUCCUGCAACGAGCGCAACCCUCAUAUGUAGUUGCCAUCAUUCAGUUGGGCACUCUGCAUAGACUGCCGUGGUCAGCACGGAGGAAGGUGGGGAUGACGUCAAAUCAUCACGGCCCUUACGGCCUGGGCUACACACGUGCUACAAUGGCUAUUACAAAGAGUUGCAAUACAGCAAUGUGGAGCGAAUCUCAAAAAGAUAGUCUCAGUUCGGACUGUGGGCUGCAACCCGCCCACACGAAGUCGGAGUUGCUAGUAAUCCCGAAUCAGCAUGUCGGGGUGAAUGCGUUCCCGGGUCUUGCACACAAGGCCCGUCA